CAGUCGCCACGGUAAUACGAAGGGUGCAAGCGUUAAUCGGAAUUACUGAGCGUAAAGGGUGCGUAGGCGGUUAGUUAAGUCUGUCGUGAAAUCCCCGGGCUCAACCUGGGAAUGGCGAUGGAUACUGGCUGGCUAGAGUGUGUCAGAGGAUGGUGGAAUUUCCGGUGUAGCGGUGAAAUGCGUAGAGAUCGGAAGGAACAUCAGUGGCGAAGGCGGCCAUCUGGGACAACACUGACGCUGAAGCACGAAAGCGUGGGGAGCAAACAGGAUUAGAUACCCGCGUAGUCCCUGUCUCUUAUAC
rnacentral:rRNA from 1 species